rnacentral:rRNA from 1 species
CGGGACACGUGGUAUCCUGUCUGAAUAUGGGGGGACCAUCCUCCAAGGCUAAAUACUCCUGACUGACCGAUAGUGAACCAGUACCGUGAGGGAAAGGCGAAAAGAACCCCGGCGAGGGGAGUGAAAAAGAACCUGAAACCGUGUACGUACAAGCAGUGGGAGCACGCUUAGGCGUGUGACUGCGUACCUUUUGUAUAAUGGGUCAGCGACUUAUAUUCUGUAGCAAGGUUAACCGAAUAGGGGAGCCGAAGGGAAACCGAGUCUUAACUGGGCGUUAAGUUGCAGGGUAUAGACCCGAAACCCGGUGAUCUAGCCAUGGGCAGGUUGAAGGUUGGGUAACACUAACUGGAGGACCGAACCGACUAAUGUUGAAAAAUUAGCGGAUGACUUGUGGCUGGGGGUGAAAGGCCAAUCAAACCGGGAGAUAGCUGGUUCUCCCCGAAAGCUAUUUAGGUAGCGCCUCGUGAAUUCAUCUCCGGGGGUAGAGCACUGUUUCGGCAAGGGGGUCAUCCCGACUUACCAACCCGAUGCAAACUGCGAAUACCGGAGAAUGUUAUCACGGGAGACACACGGCGGGUGCUAACGUCCGUCGUGAAGAGGGAAACAACCCAGACCGCCAGCUAAGGUCCCAAAGUCAUGGUUAAGUGGGAAACGAUGUGGGAAGGCCCAGACAGCCAGGAUGUUGGCUUAGAAGCAGCCAUCAUUUAAAGAAAGCGUAAUAGCUCACUGGUCGAGUCGGCCUGCGCGGAAGAUGUAACGGGGCUAAACCAUGCACCGAAGCUGCGGCAGCGACGCUUAUGCGUUGUUGGGUAGGGGAGCGUUCUGUAAGCCUGCGAAGGUGUGCUGUGAGGCAUGCUGGAGGUAUCAGAAGUGCGAAUGCUGACAUAAGUAACGAUAAAGCGGGUGAAAAGCCCGCUCGCCGGAAGACCAAGGGUUCCUGUCCAACGUUAAUCGGGGCAGGGUGAGUCGACCCCUAAGGCGAGGCCGAAAGGCGUAGUCGAUGGGAAACAGGUUAAUAUUCCUGUACUUGGUGUUACUGCGAAGGGGGGACGGAGAAGGCUAUGUUGGCCGGGCGACGGUUGUCCCGGUUUAAGCGUGUAGGCUGGU